rnacentral:misc_RNA from 1 species
AACGCACAUUGCGCCCCUUGGUAUUCCGAGGGGCAUGCCUGUUCGAGCGUCAUUGCAACCCCUCAAGCUCAGCUUGGUGUUGGGGCCUGCCGCGUUGGCAGCCCUUAAAAUCAGUGGCGGUGCCAUCUGGCUCUAAGCGUAGUAAUUCUUCUCGCUACAGGGUCCUGGUGAGCGCUUGCCAUAAGCCUAUAUUUUCUAUGGUUGACCUCGGAUCAGGUAGGGAUACCCGCUGAACUUAA